rnacentral:rRNA from 1 species
GGUCGUAGACCCGAAACCAGGUGAUCUACCCUUGGUCAGGUUGAAGUUCAGGUAACACUGAAUGGAGGACCGAACCGACUUACGUUGAAAAGUGAGCGGAUGAACUGAGGGUAGCGGAGAAAUUCCAAUCGAACCUGGAGAUAGCUGGUUCUCUCCGAAAUAGCUUUAGGGCUAGCCUCAAGUGAUGAUUAUUGGAGGUAGAGCACUGUUUGGACGAGGGGCCCCUCUCGGGUUACCGAAUUCAGACAAACUCCGAAUGCCAAUUAAUUUAACUUGGGAGUCAGAACAUGGGUGAUAAGGUCCGUGUUCGAAAGGGAAACAGCCCAGACCACCAGCUAAGGUCCCAAAAUAUAUGUUAAGUGGAAAAGGAUGUGGCGUUGCCCAGACAACUAGGAUGUUGGCUUAGAAGCAGCCAUCAUUUAAAGAGUGCGUAAUAGCUCACUAGUCGAGUGACACUGCGCCGAAAAUGUACCGGGGCUAAACAUAUUACCGAAGCUGUGGAUUGUCCUUUGGACAAUGGUAGGAGAGCGUUCUAAGG